rnacentral:rRNA from 1 species
UACGGAGGGUGCAAGCGUUGUUCGGAAUCAUUGGGCGUAAAGCGCGUGUAGGCGGCUUGGCAAGUCAGUUGUGAAAGCCCGGGGGCCCAACCCCGGAACUGCAUCUGAAACUGCCUGGCUAGAGUCCCGGAGAGGAAGGCAGAAUUCCCGGGUGUAGGGGUGAAAUCCGUAGAUAUCGGGAGGAACACCGAUGGCGAAGGCAGGUCUCUGGGCCACUACUGACACUGAGAAGCGAAAGCGUGGGGAGCGAUCCGG